AUGGCUUGGUGUUCGCGGUUGGAUGGGAGUAGUAAGUGGCGGCGCCACAGAAGAGAAGGAGGGCAGUGUAGCCCAGGUAUUUACGGGUUUCAACAUCGAUGUUGGGUUCCGGUAAAGAUGAGAAUCGACGGAGAAAUGGAUUUGGAGGUAGUAUUUGGAGAAGUUGAGAAUGUGAAUAAGUUGAAGAGUGGUAGUGGUGAUGGUGGAUGCAAAGGGAAUGUUUGA